GCCUUCGUUUGUCCGAGAAGCAGGUCAAAAUCUGGUUCCAGAACCGACGGGUGAAGCGCAAGAAGGGCGAUGCUCC
rnacentral:miRNA from 1 species